rnacentral:rRNA from 1 species
AUUGAACGCUGGCGGCAUGCCUUACACAUGCAAGUCGGACGGUAACAGGUCUUCGGAUGCUGACGAGUGGCGAACGGGUGAGUAAUACAUCGGAACGUGCCUAGUAGUGGGGGAUAACUACUCGAAAGAGUGGCUAAUACCGCAUGAGAUCUACGGAUGAAAGCAGGGGAUCGCAAGACCUUGUGCUACUAGAGCGGCCGAUGGAAGAUUAGGUAGUUGGAGGGAUAAAAGCUUACCAAGCCGACGAUCUGUAGCUGGUCUGAGAGGACGAUCAGCCACACUGGGACUGAGACACGGCCCAGACUCCUACGGGAGGCAGCAGUGGGGAAUUUUGGACAAGGGGCGCAAGCCUGAUCCAGCAAUGCCGCGUGCAGGAUGAAGGCCUUCGGGUUGUAAACUGCUUUUGUACGGAACGAAAAGCCCUGGGUUAAUACCCUGGGGUCAUGACGGUACCGUAAGAAUAAGCACCGGCUAACUACGUGCCAGCCGCCGCCGUAA